GGCAUAUCGCCCCGGUAUUAUGAUCCUCCUGAUGGUUUCAAGUUUGAAAUAAAUGAUGUUUCACCACCUAUUCAGGAUGAUACUCUUAUGUUUGACUAUAAUGUUCAAGAGCGAGUGAAUGACUUUGUUGCUGCCGCUUUAGCUCAGGCUCUAGUGUAGCCAUUUCUUCUGUGUACAGGUCAGAAGAAAGUAUAGAAAACACUAUAGAAGUUGGACAAGGAAGUUUGAAGCUAAUUUAUUCAGCUCGUGAUGGAAAGCUUUCACACUAUGCUAACAACAGAAAUUUGAUUACAGCAUCUGCAGAACAGUCAUACAUUUAUUACAGUGGAAACGAUGGAACUGAUAAAGAUCCACGGG